GUGAACCCAGCCACUGGCCCUGCUCCUCGAACGCCACACGCUUCAGGAUCCCUUCCCCUGGCAGCCAGUACCUCUCUCCACCGGGCAGUUCCUGCAUGAUCCUCCAGCUCCAGCAGCAGCUGCUCUUCCCAUCCUCCUGGAAUGGAAUGGAAGCUGAUUGAGGACCAACUUUUGGUGUCUGGUCAGUAGUAGUGACUGGACACUGUCAGGUCCCCUUUUCAACCAGACUUUCCAGUCAAAAACUGACACCUGGUACCCCUAAGCUGAAACCCAAGAGAGCCAGUUAGGCUGAGAUAUGGCAUCCUGACAGCCAUAUUUAUUGUCCUGGGUUUUGGCAAGACCUGCUGGGAAGUAGGAAUGUGUAUAUAAAGAUCACCUUUCUCACAGACCAGGCAGAAAUUUGGAAGGAGCCUGCCUGACUGUGGGAAGAGAUAUCAUUUCAAGAAGUAUUGGCUUGCACUUUCCUAAUGUAAAGCGCUGAUAGAUCCUUUCCUCUGGAUGUUAGUGGAAAGAAAGCAAGUUGGCUUACUUGGACAGAAAUGGUGAUUUAUGAAGGCUGAAUGGAUGUGCACUGCAGAAAAGGGACAACACAUAUGGUCUGAGUUGCUUUGCUUAAAUGUUUGGAAAUACAGAGACCAACUGCCUUGACAGAGGUAUGGUACCUGUCUUGUCCACUCCUUCCUGUUAUGAGGGUCUAAAGAUUAGAGGUAUUUGGAACGAUUUAUGUUUUUUUCACAUGCUUGGAUAACUCAUCUUUUGGUUCAAAUGUGGACCUGUGAGUGAGUAAUACCAGUGAUCAUUUUGACCCUUUGUGGAUAGCUAACAUGUAUGGAGCAUUAAGAUCUUGAGAAAGGAUCAGGUGGUCAGUCAAAUCCAGCCUCUUUUCUGUUUUUUUUUUUCUGGAAGAGAUUUGUAACAUAGCAUUGAGAUUAAAGGACUCAUUCACUCUUUUGAUAGAUUAUGGUUGAGGGUCUGGGGUUGAAAGAAAAGAGUAAGGAAAUAUAAUUUUAAUAUCCUAUGUAUAUAGUGCUUUUCUCUCAAAAUAAUCUCAUGCACAAUAAACCUACAUGACUGCUUUCACCCACAACUGAAAUGUAGCCACUUCUCAGGUAGAAAGCAGAAGUGAUUUAAGACAGGAAGCAAAGAAUACCAUAGACAAUGGAAACUACAGAGAGAAUUGAAGUAGGCAGAAUGUUCUUAACUAAACUAGGUUGGCCAAGACCCAAAGAUUAUCACCAGGGCUGACCUUACCAUGAGGCGAACUGAGGCAGCCGCCUCAGGUGCCAGACACUGUGUGUGUGUGGUG